rnacentral:rRNA from 1 species
GUGGGGAAUAUUGCACAAUGGGCGCAAGCCUGAUGCAGCAACGCCGCGUGAGGGACGACGGCCUUCGGGUUGUAAACCUCUUUUAGCAGGGAAGAAGCGAAAGUGACGGUACCUGCAGAAAAAGCACCGGCUAACUACGUGCCAGCAGCCGCGGUAAUACGUAGGGUGCAAGCGUUGUCCGGAAUUAUUGGGCGUAAAGAGCUCGUAGGCGGUUUGUCGCGUCUGCUGUGAAAACCCGAGGCUCAACCUCGGGCCUGCAGUGGGUACGGGCAGACUAGAGGGCGGUAGGGGAGAUUGGAAUUCCUGGUGUAGCGGUGGAAUGCGCAGAUAUCAGGAGGAACACCGAUGGCGAAGGCAGAUCUCUGGGCCGUAACUGACGCUGAGGAGCGAAAGCGUGGGGAGCGAACAGGAUUAGAUACCCGAGUAGUCC